rnacentral:rRNA from 1 species
GUCUACGGCCAUAUCGCCCUGAAUGCGCCCAAUCUCGUCUGAUUUCAGAAGCUAAGCAGAGUCGGGCCUGGUUAGUACUUGGAUGGGAGAAGGAAGUUGUGCUCA